rnacentral:tRNA from 1 species
GGUUGUAGCUCAAUGGUAGAGAGCUUGCCUAGCAUGUGUGAAGCACUGGGUUCGAAUCUCAGCAUCA